rnacentral:rRNA from 1 species
GACGAACGCUGGCGGCGUGCCUAAUACAUGCAAGUAGAACGCUGAAGGAGGAGCUUGCUUCUCUGGAUGAGUUGCGAACGUGUGAGUAACGCGUAGGUAACCUGCCUGGUAGCGGGGGAUAACUAUUGGAAACGAUAGCUAAUACCGCAUAAGAGUAGAUGUUGCAUGACAUUUUCUUAAAAGGUGCAAUUGCAUCACUACCAGAUGGACCUGCGUUGUAUUAGCUAGUUGGUGGGGUAACGGCUCACCAAGGCGACGAUACAUAGCCGACCUGAGAGGGUGAUCGGCCACACUGGGACUGAGACAAGGCCCAGACUCCUACGGGAGGCAGCAGUAGGGAAUAUUCGGCAAUGGACGGAAGUCUGACCGAGCAACGCCGCGUGAGUGAAGAAGGUUGUCGGAUAGGAAAGCUCUGUUGUAAGAGAAGAACGAGUGUGAGAGUGGAAAGUGCACACUGUGACGGUAUAUUACCAGAAAGGGACGGCUAACUACGUG